rnacentral:tRNA from 1 species
GGAGAGGUGGCAGAGCGGCUGAAUGCACCGGUCUUGAAAACCGGCAGCCCGCAAGGGCUCGUGGGUUCAAAUCCCACCCUCUCCG